AUAUAUAUGCUAUUCGUACCGAAGAAAGUAACUGGGAGUGCUCCCUUAAUUUGUUACCGAGGAAUGAAAUUACAUAUAUAAAUUACAAUUACCAGUUGUAAUGUUUAUUGUAUUUUAAUUGACCUCGGAUUAAAUCUGAGGUUUUAUUUUGAUAAA
rfam:Spiroplasma taiwanense CT-1, complete genome.